GAUGAACGCUGGCGGCGUGCCUAAUACAUGCAAGUCGAGCGAACAGAUAAGGAGCUUGCUUCUCUGAUGUUAGCGGCGGACGGGUGAGUAACACGUGGGUAACCUACCUAUAAGACUGGGAUAACUUCGGGAAACCGGAGCUAAUACCGGAUAAUAUUUUGAACCGCAUGGUUCGAUAGUGAAAGAUGGUCUUGCUAUCACUUAUAGAUGGAUCCGCGCCGCAUUAGCUAGUUGGUAAGGUAACGGCUUACCAAGGCGACGAUACAUAGCCGACCUGAGAGGGUGAUCGGCCACACUGGAACUGAGACACGGUCCAGACUCCUACGGGAGGCAGCAGUAGGGAAUCUUCCGCAAUGGGCGAAAGCCUGACGGAGCAACGCCGCGUGAGUGAUGAAGGUCUUCGGAUCGUAAAACUCUGUUAUUAGGGAAGAACAUACGUGUAAGUAACUGUGCACAUCUUGACGGUACCUAAUCAGAAAGCCACGGCUAACUACGUG
rnacentral:rRNA from 1 species